GGGGAAUCUUGCGCAAUGGGCGAAAGCCUGACGCAGCCAUGCCGCGUGAAUGAUGAAGGUCUUAGGAUUGUAAAAUUCUUUCACCGGGGACGAUAAUGACGGUACCCGGAUAAGAAGCCCCGGCUAACUUCGUGCCAGCAGCCGCGGUAAUACGAAGGGGGCUAGCGUUGCUCGGAAUUACUGGGCGUAAAGGGCGCGUAGGCGGACAUUUAAGUCAGGGGUGAAAUCCCAGAGCUCAACUCUGGAACUGCCUUUGAUACUGGGUGUCUUGAGUAUGAGAGAGGUAUGUGGAACUCCGAGUGUAGAGGUGAAAUUCGUAGAUAUUCGGAAGAACACCAGUGGCGAAGGCGACAUACUGGCUCAUUACUGACGCUGAGGCGCGAAAGCGUGGGGAGCAAAC
rnacentral:rRNA from 1 species